GGCGAGGCGGCACCCUGGCAUUUUGACAGCAGUAAAUAGCAUUUUGAAUGAAAUUUUUGGGAACUGGACAAAUUUUAUCUAUUACAUGUGAAGAACACCAGCCAUAAAGAAGUCUCAUAUAGACAUCUCUGAACUGCUUUUAGAAGAGGGUAAAGCUGGUAGAGGCCUGCUACAUUCCCAGUGAUUGCUCAGGCCUGUGUAUGGGUUUCUGUGUCUUCUCUGCAUCUGUUUCUAUGGCACUUUACAUCUUUU